UUCCUCCUCAGCUCUGAGCUGCACCGACUCGAGCGGCUCGCUCGCUUACGUCACAUCCGGCCGAGCCCACCUUGGACCGCUGCGGGGUACCGCCCGCCUUUCCGCGCCCUGACUCUGCGUCUAGGGGACGUCUUCAGUUGGAGCACCCAACGCGAGGAGAGUCCCGUGGGCUCACGCGUGCUCACGGGAUCUCCCCCGCCCCGAGUGGCGCGGUCUGGCCUGCCCUCGGCGCCGCUCGAGUUCACUCGCUUUUCCCCACGGGCCGGAGGCGCCCGGCGGGACCCCUUCGGGAGCUGUGGCGGUUUGCUUUAAACGUGAAACUGGAGAGGAAAUUCUCAGAAGUGUAAAUACACUGGAGCAACUCCAUGCAAGUUGAGUGAGUCACUUAGCACCCUCACCAGUAAUGGGUGAGCUCAGUCUUCUAAGUCAGGUUCUUGUCAGGUUCUUGACAUUUCAGUUUAGAUGUUAAAAACAUGAUUAUUUUCAAGAAAUAACUUACAUUCCUUUGUUCGUUUACAAAGCACUUGAAUAGAUUUCAUGAGAUCCUUACAAUGGUGGUGAGCACGGUUUUUGUUUAAUUUUAAGAAUUGUGAGUAGAUUUCUUCAUGCACCACUGCGUUGUGCAAAAGUUUUUGACUGUCUUUAAUCUUUUGGCAUUUGAAAAAGACAUUUUGGGAGUUCUGGAAUGACUUCAUCUUUGACUGUUUGCCAAGGAAGCGGGCAAAAGCCACCCGGUUUUAGUUUUGAGUAUGGUGGGGAAAGAGAGGCAAGUGGUCAGAUGUGUUUCCAAAAGGUGGGAUUUUAGGUAGUUGGAGGAAGACCCAAGAGAAGACGGGCUGUUGGGUUCCAGUCCCCAUAGUGUGGGGAGACAGUAAGGAGACAUCCAUGCCGGUGGCCUGCUGCCGUGCGAGGUAGGACAGAAAAAGGGAAAGGCAGAUAGUUUUAGUUAAAGGGAAAGAGGGAAUGAACCUGACUGAGCACUCCCGAGACAUCUGCGUCACCAGCAAGAUCUGAAAUCGACCUGGGUCAGUAUCAGUGUUUAUCCAAUGAAUACAUCACACACAGCGUUCACAACUAAAGUAUGACUUUUGGUAGAUUGGGUUAUCUCUUAGAAAUGUUCACUCUCUCCUCUUUCACCUGCAUGAGUGGGGGAUACUCCCUGCCCGUUGGCUUUGCGUUUGCCCUUGUUUUCGCUAAUAGAAUGUUAACAGACAGGCCCGAUGAAAGUUCUGAAAAGCGCUGACCUGCUGAUCAGGCGUGCUCUCUAGUAGUUUUCCGCUGCCGUAGGAAGAGCUUUCCUCCAGGGCUGCUGCUGCCCCUUCAGCCCGGGUUUCAGAAUGAACACAGGUGGAACAGAGCUGCCUCGGCCAACCCGCACCUGCACCUGAAGGACUCACCGUAGCCAAAUGGUGCCCAAUAGCUCAGAUUUUGUUACGCCUCAGCUCAGUGAUUCAACUUUAAAAGAUUCAUAAUGAAAAACAGCAGUCUUCUGACUCAGGCCUUCCUACCCCUCAGCCCUGCUUUCCAGAGGCAAAUAUUUUCAACUCCUUAAAUUAUUUCCUGUACUUCCGUGAAUACAGUUGACCCUCGAACAACA